rnacentral:rRNA from 1 species
CCUACGGGGGGCAGCAGUGGGGAAUAUUGGACAAUGGGGGGAACCCUGAUCCAGCCAUGCCGCGUGUGUGAAGAAGGCCCUCGGGUUGUAAAGCACUUUCAGUGAGGAAGAACGCCUGGUGGUUAAUACCCAUCAGGAAAGACAUCACUCACAGAAGAAGCACCGGCUACACUCCGUGCCAGCAGCCGCGGUAAUACGGAGGGUGCGAGCGUUAAUCGGAAUUACUGGGCGUAAAGCGCGCGUAGGUGGCUUGAUAAGCCGGUUGUGAAAGCCCCGGGCUCAACCUGGGAACGGCAUCCGGAACUGUCAAGCUAGAGUGCAGGAGAGGAAGGUAGAAUUCCCGGUGUAGCGGUGAAAUGCGUAGAGAUCGGGAGGAAUACCAGUGGCGAAGGCGGCCUUCUGGACUGACACUGACACUGAGGUGCGAAAGCGUGGGUAGCAAACAGGAUUAGAUACCCCAGUAGUC